UUUGACAUCUUCGGAGAAAGGAUUCGGGGAGGUGCCAGAGAAUAGUCCCAAGUAAACUUUGCAGAGGACGGCCAGCAGCAGCACAGCCAGGAGCAGCACCAGCGGAAGCCACAUCACGCCGGCGUCGGGUCGGGUAAAUGGGACAGCUCCGACUGCGCUCAGCCUCUAGGACUGUGGCUCCGCCCGGGCUCUCCAGUCAGGAGGCGGAGGCAGCUUUGAGCACUGAUUAACCAGCCAGCCAGCGAAGAGCCAACUCUCAGGUGAUGAUUGACCCUCCCGGCUCUCCGCACUUCUUUUGGGUUUCCAUUGCCUACUGGGAAAUGUAGUUCUCGGGGCCAGGGGAGCCGACACGCAAGCGGCUGUGCGCAUGAGCAGAUGAGGCCUAGCCGAGGCGGCGGGACCCCCAAGUUUGGAAAGCUCUGUUAACGGCUAUGCGAAAGUUCUGUCCAAAGGCUGCUCACAGCCCCUGUCUGACUGGGUGUCAUGAUGAAUUGAGCUCCCUGUUACCUGCGCAUCACAACCGAGCUGAGGCUUCGAAGACCUCAGAGGACUUCUCUCAGCACUCACAGAAACCUCCUACAC
rnacentral:sRNA from 1 species